rnacentral:rRNA from 1 species
AGGAUUAACGCUGGCGGCGUGCCUAACACAUGCAAGUCGAACGAGGUAGCAAUACCUAGUGGCAGACGGGUGAGUAACGCGUGGUCAACCUACCCUCGAGUGGGGGAUAACUAGCCGAAAGGCUAGCUAAUACCGCAUAAUACCGUAGCCGGCAUCGGCAUCGGUUGAAAGCAGCAAUGCACUCGGGGACGGGACCGCGUCCGAUUAGUUAGUUGGUGGGUAACGGCCUACCAAGACUCCGAUCGGUAGCUGGUUUGAGAGAACGACCAGCCACACUGGGACUGAGAACGGCCCAGACUCCUACGGGAGGCAGCAGUGAGGAAUUUUCCGCAAUGGGCGAAAGCCUGACGGAGCGACGCCGCGUGUGGGAAGAAGGCCUUCGGGUCGUAAACCACUGUCGAGGGGGACGAUACUGACGGUACCCCUGGAGGAAGCCCGGCUAACUACGUGCCAGCAGCCGC